UGAUCUCUCCCUGCCCGACGUCAUCCUCCACCCACCGAGCCUCACCUGCUCCCUCCCAUAUCUUUAUCCCCCUCCAAACCCUAGUCUCCUCUCCCCUUCCUCCCUUGCGCCGCCAUCUCUCCGCUUCCCCUUCUUUUUGUGAAGCCCGAGCGCCGCCUCACAGCUCCGCCGUGUCGCCGACACAAGAGGCCACCCCGAGGCCAUCCAAGACCACCAGGAGACGCGCCGUCCUCAUCUCCGUCCUCCUCUGCAACGAAUCGGCCCGUGGCGCCCUAAAUCGAGCGUAGUUCGCCGUUCCCUUCUCCGUCUCUGGCUGGGGUUCUUCACCGAUUCCGGGCAACCUCGGCCUCCUCCGGCAACACCGAGCAUACCAUCGUCUUCAGGAUACCCACCGCCGACGAAGCUCCGGCGAGCCCCUAACGCCGCCUCGGCCUCCAUCUUGUCCGCGCCGAUGAGGCACCUCUGGAAGGCACCAACACGCUUCCGGGGAAUGUCUGCAUCGCCGCGCUCGUCUUCGCCGCGCCCGCGGUGGUCACCGCCUGUCCCGUGCGCAUGCCAUCCGUCGAGCACGUUCCGUGCACGCGAGGAAGCUCCGCCAGCGUGGCAGCCACCUCAGCGCUAGACCCCACCCGUCAGCUUGUGGGUAGAUUCUAUCCCGCAUUUGCUUCUUCCCGGAUAGGAUCGCGAAGUGGUGAUGUGAGAUACGACGAGUUCUCCGACAAGUUCUUCUGCAGCUUUUCACAGGCGAGCUCUCCCUCUUCACCUAUUUUACAUUUUGCCCUCCCUCUCACUGCUAUCCUUAUGUUGCGAUUCUUUAUCGAGUCACGUGUCCUAUCCACUUGUUUACCAUAAUAAUCUUAUAUGUAUAAUUCCUUACCCAUAACCGUUGCUUGAUGUUUGAGCCUUGCGGGUCGUAGGCGUAUUUAGGCUCUGUUGUUUAUCUCGAUCUGUUAUCGGGAUAUGUUGGGUUGUUGGGAGGUUAUCACAUGCUAUCUCAGUUAUUGGAGAUACACAUGCUUUACUUAAUUGUUAACAACUAAAAUUGUAAGCAGAGGCAUCUGUGAGCCCCUUUGCGAAAGCAUCGGAACUUUGUCUCGCUAAUGUCCCCUAGGACCCGUGUUCUUAUUAUCUGUUGCGAGAUUGAGCGCUCUACCCAUGCGUGGGGAUUCACUGGGACCCCCUCACCCAUUACCUCUUCUCAAGUCAGUUGAAAAGGGGGCCACAACCUUGGUUUUAUUUGGCGCAUGCAUGCUUAUAUACUGUUGCCUUCGGGUGUUUACUUCAUGUUGCCUUCGGGUGUUUAUAUUCUGUACUGUAUUGCAUAAUUGCUAGACGACUUAUCUAGUGCUUGGCCGUUAGUGCCCGCCUAGACGCCUACGCAACCUCUGGGUCCGUCUCGGAGUACGGCCGAACUUCGUCACGGGUAGCUUAGUUGGGUGGCCCUGAUACGUCUCCAACGUAUCUAUAAUUUCUUAUGUUCCAUGCUAGUUUUAUGACAAUACUCACAUGUUUUAUAUGCACUUUAUAUCAUAUUAUGGCAUUUAUUGGACUAACCUAUUAACAAGAUGCCACAGUGCCAGUUUCUGUUUAUUAUGUCCGUUUAUUGCGAGAAAGGCCAAAAAACCAAAGUGCUCGGAAAAAUCCAGAAAAAUCACAGAAAUUCUAUUUCGCCAGAAGACUCACGGAGCCAGAAGGGCAAGCCAGGGGGAGGCCCAGGGCCUCCACACCAUAGGUCGGCGCGGCCAGAGUGGGGCCGCCCCACCCUAUGGGGUGGGCCCCUCGGGACUCCACCGACGUCGUCUCUUCGCCUAUAUAAUCCCUCGCGACGCAAAAACCCUACACGAAUCGACGAAACUCCAGAAAGACUCCAGGGGCGCCGCCGCCAUCGCGAAACUCCGUUUCGGGGGACAGAAGUCUCUGUUCCGGCACGCCGCCGGGAUAGGGAAUUUCCCCCGGAGUCAUCUCCAUCGACAUCACCGCCAUCUUCAUCGCCAUUGUUGUCUCCCAUGAUGAGGAGGGAGUAGUUCUCCCCCGGGGCUGAGGGCUCUACCGGUAGCUAUGUGGUUCAUCUCUCUCUCUCCCAUGGUGUGAUCUUUAUGUGAUCAUGAGCUUUGUAUCACUAUUAAUCUAUGUGUUACUCUAGUGAUGUUAUUAAAGUAGUCUAUUCCUCCUCCAUGAUGUAAUGUUGACAUUGUGUGCAUCAUGUAGUACUUGGCGUAGGUUAUGAUUGUAAUCUCUUGUAGAUUAUGAAGUUAACUAUUACUAUGAUA